rnacentral:lncRNA from 1 species
GUGCUGACGUCGGACGCCGCCGCGGCGCGCUCUGCAGACUCCGGGUCGCCGCUCCGCCGGGACGCGUUGGCCGGGGCGCGCGGUGCUUGGCUGCGGUGCUCACACUCAUGAGGAGCCGGAAGCUCACAGGUGCAGUGCGGUCUUCAGCGCGCUUGAAAGCACGAAGUUGUUCGGCAGCCAGGUUGGCCUCUGCCCAGGAAGUUGCUGGUUCCACGUCUGCCAAGACAGCAUGUCUGGUGAGCCCUGUUACCGUGGAGAACGCCAAGAUCCUGACUCGAGGGUCCAUUUUUAUACAAAAUUGCCACUCCAAGAUGUGUUGCUUUAGAAAAAUAUCGACUGUUACUUAUCUGCCAGAGGGGGACUAUUGCAGAUGAAAAGGUGACAGCACUGUAAUUGCCUUCAGAGAAAGACACACUCUGCAGGCCAGGGCUGGCUCUCCUAGCACCCGCCCACCCGUGUGUGUGUCUAGACCCGGGCUCUGAUCCUAGCACCCGCCCACCCGUGUGUGUGUCUAGACCCGGGCCCUGAUCCUAGCACCCGCCCACCCGUGUGUGUGUCUAGACCCGGGCCCUGAUCCUAGCACCCUCCCACCCGUGUGUGUGUCUAGACCCGGGCCCUGAUCCUAGCACCCUCCCACCCGUGUGUGUGUCUAGACCCGGGCCCUGAUCCUAGCACCCGCCCACCCGUGUGUGUGUCUAGACCCGGGCCCUGAUCCUAGCACCCGCCCACCCGUGUGUGUGUCUAGACCCGGGCCCUGAUCCUAGCACCCGCCCACCCGUGUGUGUGUCUAGACCCGGGCCCUGAUCCUAGCACCCGCCCACCCGUGUGUGUGUCUAGACCCGGGCCCUGAUCCUAGCACCCGCCCACCCGUGUGUGUGUCUAGACCCGGGCCCUGAUCCUAGCACCCGCCCACCCGUGUGUGUGUCUAGACCCGGGCCCUGAUCCUAGCACCCGCCCACCCGUGUGUGUGUCUAGACCCGGGCCCUGAUCCUAGCACCCGCCCACCCGUGUGUGUGUCUAGACCCGGGCCCUGAUCCUAGCACCCGCCCACCCGUGUGUGUGUCUAGACCCGGGCCCUGAUCCUAGCACCCGCCCACCCGUGUGUGUGUCUAGACCCGGGCCCUGAUCCUAGCACCCGCCCACCCGUGUGUGUGUCUAGACCCGGGCUCUGAUCCUAGCACCCGCCCACCCGUGUGUGUGUCUAGACCCGGGCCCUGAUCCUAGCACCCUCCCACCCGUGUGUGUGUCUAGACCCGGGCUCUGAUCCUAGCACCUGCCCACCCGUGUGUGUGUCUAAACCAGGCUCUGAGGCCACUUGUGCUCAUCGCUCUGCUCUUAGCGUGCUAUGGAGUCAUGCUGGCCCAUUGCCGUGCAGCCUCACCGCCAGAGGCUUGAAGAGAAAGGCAGAGUGGGUGGGGAAAGGAAUCUCAUGCCGUCUGCCGUUCACCCUAGCCCAGCCAUCGAUUCCGAGGAGCGAGUUCCUGAACUUACCGGUGAAGUAGAGCCGCUUCACGGAGCCUACAGUUGAGGGGUUAGGACUUGGCCAUAUGCCAGCGUGUAGCACAGAGCUUUGCUCAUGAUGAGGUGCUUGGUAAAAUUUUGUCGAAGUCAAUUUCACAAAUAUUUCUUGAGCACCUACUGUGUGCCAGGCACUAAUUGGUGAAUAAAGCAAAGACCCCUGCCUUCACAGAGCUUAUGCCCUAGCAGAAAUGAAUGAAAGCUGGAUUCUUUUACUGUAAUUGUAUAAUAUAUAAAUAUAUGCUUCAGAAUUCACCUGAGGAGCUGUAACGCCACUAGGGGAAACUGAAAGUGUAGGAGUGGUGUGGAGCUGUAACGCCACUAGGGAAAACUGAAAGUGUAGGAGUGGUGUGGGGUGUGUCUAGAUUCAGUCUCGCUUGUAUUUUGUCCCUUGGUGGCAAAACAGUGAAAUGACGAUCUGUGAAAGUUGUGGUCACAGCAUCUUUAUCAUUUCCGAUGUGAGAAGAAAUACUAGCCUCUGGAUUGAGGCCUGUUUUAUUUGCUAGAUAUGUCUGGUUCCCCUUACAUUUUUUUUCUUGACAGACUUCCUCAUCCCACAAAGCCACAGACACGCGAACGUCCAAGAAGUUCAAAUGUGACAAAGGACAUCUUGUGAAGUCAGAAUUACAGAAGCUUGUCCCUAAGAAUGACAGCGCUUCUUUGCCAAAAGUGACACCUGAGACCCCUUGUGAAAAUGAGUUUGCUGAAGGCAGUGCCUUGCUUCCAGGCAGCGAGGCUGGCGUUUCUGUGCAGCAGGGGGCUGCAAGUCUUCCUCUCGGUGGCUGCAGAGUUGUGAGUGACUCUCGCUUAGCAAAGACUAGAGAUGGCCUGUCCGUGCCAAAACACAGUGCCGGGUCCGGAGCAGAAGAAUCCAACAGCAGCUCCACUGUGCAGAAGCAGAAUGAGCCAGGGCUACAGACAGAGGAUGUGCAGAAGCCACCACUUCAGAUGGACAACAGCGUCUUUCUAGAUGACGACAGCAAUCAGCCAAUGCCCGUGAGCCGGUUCUUUGGAAACGUUGAGCUCAUGCAGGACCUCCCACCUGCGUCUUCAUCUUGUCCUUCAAUGAGCAGACGAGAGUUCAGAAAAAUGCAUUUCAGAGCCAAAGAUGAUGAUGAUGACGACGACGAUGAUGCAGAAAUGUAGGGGCCAUACAAAAUAAUGUCCUUGAGUAUUUAGUACCAUUAACAAUUUGACAAUUUAGCACAUUACAAGAUUUAUAUAAAAUGUAUCUCCAAGAGAAUGUCUUAAUCAAACUUCAGAACUGACCCAUCUAAGUCAAUAGUGCAAAGCACCCAAUACCUGUGGAGGAUGUACUCAUGGGAACUAAAACUCAAACCAUCUUUGAGGUUGCAAAGCUGCUGUACUGUGCCAAUGUCCUUUCUUUUUUUUUUUUUUUUUUUUUCCUUGGAGACAGAGUUUCUCUCUUGUCGCCCAGGCUGGAGUGCAAUGGCGCAAUCUCGGCUCACUGCAACCUCCACCUCCUGGGUUCAAGUGAUUCUCCUGCCUCAGCCUCCUGAGUAGCUGGGAUUACAGGCAUACACCACCACACCCAGCUAGUUUUUGUAUUAUUAGUAGACACGGGGGUUUCUCCACGUUGGCCAGGCUGGUCUCAAACUCCUGACCUCGUGAUACGCCCGCCUCAGCCUCCCAAAGUGCUGGGAUUACAGGCGCGAGCCACCAUGCCCGGCCAGUGUCCUUUCUUAUACACGUACAUACAUGAUGAUGGCUUGAGUCAGCUGCAGGGCAGUGGGCUUAAUGAGAGGGAUCUUUGUAAAGACAGCUCUUCACUUCAGCUCAGUAGCUUUGGUCAUAGGCAAGUUUGUUUUCCAUUAUCAUAAUUUGAUGAUUCUUGUGAUGAAUUCAAUGCUAGUUCUUAAAGAACUCUUUUAUUUCUGUAUGUGGAGCUAAUGUUUACCUUGGAAAUUUUGCAAAAUACAUGUAAGAAAGAAAUAAAAUAUAUUUUGAAAAUAUUUUGAAA